rnacentral:rRNA from 1 species
ACGCUUGAAGUCAGUCGCGUUGGCCGGGGAUCAACCUUGCAUUUUUGCUGGGCGUACUUUCCGGUUGACGGGUCAGCAUCAAUUUUGACCGUUGGAUAAAGGUCAGGGGAAUGUGGCAUCUUCGGAUGUGUUAUAGCCCUUGGUUGCAUACAACGGUUGGGAUUGAGGAACUCAGCACGCCGCAAGGCCGGGUUUUUAACCACGUACGUGCUUAGGAUGCUGGCAUAAUGGCUUUAAUCGACCCGUCUUGAAACACGGACCAAGGAGUC